rnacentral:rRNA from 1 species
GCAUAUCAAUAAGCGGAGGAAAAGAAACCAACAGGGAUUGCCUCAGUAGCGGCGAGUGAAGCGGCAAAAGCUCAAAUUUGAAAUCUGGCGUCUUUGGCGUCCGAGUUGUAAUUUGAAGAAGGUAUCUUUGGGCCCGGCUCUUGUCUAUGUUCCUUGGAACAGGACGUCACAGAGGGUGAGAAUCCCGUGCGAUGAGAUGACCCGGGUCUGUGUAAAGUUCCUUCGACGAGUCGAGUUGUUUGGGAAUGCAGCUCUAAGUGGGUGGUAAAUUCCAUCUAAAGCUAAAUAUUGGCGAGAGACCGAUAGCGAACAAGUACAGUGAUGGAAAGAUGAAAAGAACUUUGAAAAGAGAGUGAAAAAGUACGUGAAAUUGUUGAAAGGGAAGGGCUUGAGAUCAGACUUGGUAUUUUGCAUGNUGCUCUCUCGGGGGCGGCCGCUGCGGUUUACCGGGCCAGCAUCGGUUUGGAGCGGCAGGAUAAUGGCGGAGGAAUGUGGCACGGCUUCUGCUGUGUGUUAUAGCCUCUGACGAUACUGCCAGCCUAGACCGAGGACUGCGGUUUUUACCUAGGAUGUUGGCAUAAUGAUCUUAAGUCGCCCGUCUUGAAACACGGACC